GGUCGUAUAGUGUAAUGGUUAGCACGCUACCUUGUCACGGUAGUAGUUGGGGUUCAAAUCCCCAUAUGAUCG
rnacentral:tRNA from 1 species